AGCCACUUCUGGCUAUUGCAGGUCCCCACUCUGUGCUGUUGUCACUCGUCUGCUUUCCAGAGACAAUGUAGCCCUUGAAUGAGGGAACUGUGUCUUCUCUCCUCUGCAUACACAGGGCCUGUCUUCAGUGCUUGACUUAUAGGUAAAACUCAACAGAUAUUUGCUGUCUUUUUUUACUGCUUAGAUAAGUUAGACUUCUUAUUUAUCUACAAGUUGUGCUUGUCGGUUAAGCCAGAUGUAAAACAAGUAUUAGAGGAGGUAACUUUACUUAGUCCUUCCUGCCCCCAUAUAUGAGGUUAUUUGCAAUAGAGUGAGUGAUAGAGUGGGAAAAUGAGGCAAGGAAAUUGGAAAUACAGUAGAAGAAGAGCAACAAAUCAUAGUGAGGGGAGGUGAACAUCAGCAGAGACUUGGGCUGGUACCAUUUUGAUGAUUCAGUAUGGCUUCAUGUUGCUUUGAGUUUCCUAGAAGUCUAGGUAAGAAGGGAAAUACUGGGCUAUGUAAGUCCGCUUGACUGUGGAGCCACAGUAGUUCAUCAGGAAAGGGAAGUGGUUUCAUAUGAGGAAGUUACUGCAUGGGCUGCUGUACAGUGGCCAUCAACAAAACGCCAGGUUACUCUAGGAGCUCUAGAGAACAUUUAUUUGUUCAUUCUUCAUAUAGUCUCUGGGCAUGUGCUUGCUUCUAGACAUGAUGUAGAUGUUGGACCACAGAAGUGAAUUAGGGUUUACAUUCUAGAGGAGAGAGAGACACACCGAUUCAGAUCCUAUGGGCUUGUGCACUCAGUGCUAGAGGAAAGUCAAAGGCUCUGACAGAGCCUGACAGAACUCGAGACAGAAACCUCAGCUGUGUUGAGGAGGGAGGGCUUCCAGGACGAGGGCUGAGAGGAUGCAGGAGCUAAGUUUUAAAGAAUGAGUUUGGUUGACCAGAUGGCGUUUGGAUACCAAGGAGGUAGAGUGGGGUGUCUGGGCAAUUUGUACAAUGUUAAGGUUUAGAUUUGAAAUGUGGGGCCGGGGAUUUAGCUCAGUGGUUCUGGCACCUGCCUUGCAAGCACAAGGUCCCAAGUUCGAUUCCUGGUGCCAAAACCAAAACCAAACCAAACAAAACAAAGAAUAGAUUUGAAAUGUGCCCCCCAAACUCAUAGGCUAAAGGGAUGGCUAUUGGAUCCUGGGAGGUGAUUGGAUCAUGAAGGCUGUAACUUCAUCAAGUAGAUUAAUCUGUUGAUUAGAUGAUAAUUUGAUGGCAUUCUGGGAGGUGAUGGAAGUGAGAGGUGGGACCUCAUUGGUGGGAGAUCAUGGAGGCACAGCCUUUGGAGACUGUAUCUGGUGAGCAGACUGCCCCAAACCCCACGCCCUUCCACCAUGUUGUUUCUGCCUCAUCACAUGCCUAGAAGCAAUAGCACCAGCUGACCAUGGACUGCAACCUCUGGAAAUAAGCCUUUCCUCCAUGGGGUAUUUUUGUCACAGUGAUGAAGUGCUAACAAACACACACACACACAGCAAGUGCCAGGGUCUGGAGGACUGAAAGCAUGGUGCAUUGGAGAAAUUACAAGUGAUUCAGUAAGAGUGGCACUCAUGGGGGGAGGGGGAAGCUGAUCAAGGAAGUGACAGACCACAGAGGUGACAGGCCAUGGAGGAUUCCCAGUGACACCAAAGGACCCUUGGUCUUGAGGUUCUUCAGGGUGGGAGAUGGGGAGCUAUGAAAUAAUUUUAAAUGAAAAAGCGACAGUUUAGAUUAUGUGUUUAAAGGUACAGAAACACUCCAUAUGUAGUCUUUCCUUAGUCCCCACCAAGGCCCAGCUUUGCUCCAUAGGCAAUCCAUACCAGCCCUAAAUUUCUUUGCUAUGAGGCCAAGCACUUUGGAAACACUGAAGCCUGAACUGACAUCAAUUAUGCUGAAAGGAGGAAAAAUUAAUUAAAAGUUUUCCAAGGGCUCUGUUCUGUAUUCUCCUCUAUUUUCAUGUUAUCAGCAAUGCUGCUUUUUCUCUUGGCUGGGAGUUAUUACUGUAUAACAUUUUCAUGUUGCUUGUAGG
ensembl:lncRNA